rnacentral:rRNA from 1 species
UACGGGAGGCAGCAGUGAGGAAUAUUGGUCAAUGGGCGAGAGCCUGAACCAGCCAAGUCGCGUGAAGGAAGAAGGAUCUAUGGUUCGUAAACUUCUUUUGCAGGGGAAUAAAGUGCAGGACGUGUCCUGUUUUGUAUUACGUAGAAUAGAUUGUCCCAC